GUAGGUGGCAAGCGUUAUCCGGAUUUACUGGGCGUAAAGGGUGUGCAGGCGGCUCGUCAAGUGGUGUAUGAAAUCGCCCGGCUCAACCGGGUGGGGUUAUGCCAGACUGGCGAGCUAGGGUGCGGGAGAGGGACGUGGAAUUCCGGGUGUAGUGGUGAAAUGCGUAGAGAUCCGGAGGAACCCCAGAGGCGAAGGCGGCGUCCUGGCCCGACACCGACGCUGAUACACGACAGCAUGGGGAGCGAACGGGAUUAGAAACCCCGGUAGUCCAUGCCGUAAACGAUGCCGACUAGGCGCUGGGGGUCUCAACCCCCUCGGUGUCGCAGCUAACGCGUUAAGUCGGCCGCCUGGGGAGUACGGUCGCAAGGCUA
rnacentral:rRNA from 1 species